rnacentral:rRNA from 1 species
UGAGGAUGUAAAUUUUUUAUUUUGAGUAGUAUUAGUUAUUUUCUUGAAACUUAAAGAAUUUGGCGGUAUUUUUUACCAUUCAGAGGAAUCUGUCUUGUAAUCGAUAGUCCGCGUUGAACCUUUCUUUUUUCCUUUUUGUAUACCUCCGUUGUAGGAGAAUUUUUUAAGAAUUUAAAUUUUCAAUUGAUUUUUUAUGUAUUUUAUUUCAGGUCAAGGUGCAGAUUUUAUUGAAGUUUUGAUGGAUUACAUUGUUUAUUAAAUUUUAUUUGGAUUUUUUUUUGAAAUUUUUAUGAAAUUGGAUUUGGUUGUAAUUUUAUGUAGAUUGUUAUUAUGAAAUGGUUCUGGAAUAUGU